UACAGAGGUCUCAAGCGUUGUUCGGAUUCAUUGGGCGUAAAGGGUGCGUAGGUGGUGAUGCAAGUCUGGUGUGAAAUCUCGGAGCUCAACUCCGAAAUUGCACCGGAUACUGCGUGACUCGAGGACUGUAGAGGAGAUCGGAAUUCACGGUGUAGCAGUGGAAUGCGUAGAUAUCGUGAGGAAGACCAGUUGCGAAGGCGGAUCUCUGGGCAGUUCCUGACACUGAGGCACGAAGGCCAGGGGAGCAAACGGG
rnacentral:rRNA from 1 species